UGUACAGGAUAGGUGGGAGGCUUUGAAACCAGGACGCCAGUUUUGGCGGAGCCAUCCUUGGGAUACCACCCUUGUAGUACUGGGACUCUAACCAUAGGCCAUGAAUCUGGUCUUGGGACACUGGCAGGUGGGCAGUUUGACUGGGGCGGUCGCCUCCCAAAAGGUAACGGAGGCGCUCAAAGGUUCUCUCAGUACGGUCGGAAA
rnacentral:rRNA from 1 species